CGAUGAAUACGUCCAUCGCAUCGGAAGAACUGGACGCUGCGGGAACAUCGGUCAGGCCGUGUCCUUUUUUAUCCCAGAGUCUGACACUCCAUUAGCUCACUCUCUGGUCAAAGUUCUGUCAGGGGCCCAACAGGAGGUUCCCAAAUGGCUGGAGGAAAUUGCUUUCAGUGCUCGUGGGACAACAGGCUUCAACCCUCGUGGAAAAGUGUUUGCGUCUACAGACACUCGGAAGGGGGGAACCUUCAAGACGGAUGAGCCAGCACAAGCAUCUGCCCCAAGCCCAGCAGCGGCUGCAGAUGACGAGGAAUGGGAAUAACUACUUACACCUUAUGUUCUAUUAUGUAGAUUUAUUUUUUAAAUGUUAUUUUAUUAAUUUCUCCACAUUGUUAAAAUCUUGAAUGAUUAAGCGAAAGAAAAAAAGUCACAUUCUGAAAACUGAAGGUUUGAUCUGUAGGACAGAGUAUUA